rnacentral:misc_RNA from 1 species
GAAAUGCGAUAAGUAAUGUGAAUUGCAGAAUUCAGUGAAUCAUCGAAUCUUUGAACGCACCUUGCGCUCCUUGGUAUUCCUUGGAGCAUGCCUGUUUGAGUAUCAUGAAAUCUUCAAAGUAUAUCUUUUGUUAACUCAAUUGGUUUCUACUUUGGUAUUGGAGGUCUUUGCAGCUUCACACCUGCUCCUCUUUGUUCAUUAGCUGGAUCUCAGUGUUAUGCUUGGUUCCACUCGGCGUGAUAAGUUAUCUAUCGCUGAGGACACUGUAAAAGGUGGCCAAGGUAAAUGCAGAUGAACCGCUUCUAAUAGUCCAUUGACUUGGGCAAUACUUUUAUGAUCUGAUCUCAAAUCAGGUAGGACUACCCGCUGAACUUAAGC